rnacentral:rRNA from 1 species
UACAGAGGGGGCAAGCGUUAUUCGGAAUUACUGGGCGUAAAGAGCUCGUAGGUGGUUUGUCGCGUUGUUCGUGAAAACUCACAACUCAAUUGUGGGCGUGCGGGCGAUACGGGCAGACUUGAGUACUGCAGGGGAGACUGGAAUUCCUGGUGUAGCGGUGGAAUGCGCAGAUAUCAGGAGGAACACCGGUGGCGAAGGCGGGUCUCUGGGCAGUAACUGACGCUGAGGAGCGAAAGCGUGGGGAGCGAACAGG